rnacentral:tRNA from 1 species
UCCCUGGUGAUCUAGUGGCUAAGACUCUGCACUCCCAAUGCUAGGGGCCCAGGUUGAAUCCCCGGUCAGGGAA